GCAAGUCGGACGAGAAAGCCCUUCGGGGUGAGUAGAGUGGCGCACGGGAGAGUAAUGCAUAGGAACGUACCGUAAAGUGGGGGAUAACUAUUGGAAACGAUAGCUAAUACCGCAUGUGGAAGCAAUUCUAAAGGUGGCCUCUACUUGUAAGCUACCGCUUUAUGAUCGGCCUAUGUCCCAUUAGCUAGUUGGUGAGGUAAUGGCUCACCAAGGCUACGAUGGGUAGCUGGUCUGAGAGGAUGAUC
rnacentral:rRNA from 1 species